AACCUCCGCAAUGUACGAAAGUGCGACGGGGGGAUCCCAAGUGUUAUGCUUUUUUGUAUAACUUUUCAUUAGUGUAAAAAGCUUUUAGAAUAAGAGCUGGGCAAGACCGGUGCCAGCCGCCGCGGUAACACCGGCAGCUCGAGUGGUAGCUGUUUUUAUUGGGCCUAAAGCGUUCGUAGCCGGUUUGAUAAGUCUUUGGUGAAAGCUUGUAGCUUAACUAUAAGAAUUGCUGGAGAUACUAUCAGACUUGAAGUCGGGAGAGGUUAGAGGUACUACCGGGGUAGGGGUGAAAUCCUAUAAUCCUGGGAGGACCACCUGUGGCGAAGGCGUCUAACUGGAACGAUCUUGACGGUGAGUAACGAAAGCCAGGGGCGCGAACCGGAUUAGAUACCCGGGUAGUCCUGGCCGUAAACGAUGUGGACUUGGUGUUGGAAUGGCUUUGAGUUGUUCCGGUGCCGAAGGAAGCUGUUAAGUCCACCGCCUGGGAAGUACGGUCGCAAGACUGAAACUUAAAGGAAGU
rnacentral:rRNA from 1 species